rnacentral:rRNA from 1 species
AUGGCGAUGAGGGCGUGGAGGAGGAGCGCGGCGGCGAGGGCCCCGGCGCACCUGUGCCUGUGGCUGGCGCUCGUCGCCGCCACCCUGGUGCUCGCCCAGGUGCUCAUCCACCUCGGUAAGAAGUCGAACCUGUCGGAGGUGACGCACAAGGUCUACUUCGACAUUGAGAUCGACGGCAAGCCCGCAGGUCGGGUUGUCAUGGGACUUUUCGGCAAGGCUGUUCCUAAAACCGCAGAGAACUUCAGAGCACUCUGCACAGGAGAGAAAGGCAUGGGCAACAGCGGCAAGCCUCUCCACUACAAGGGGAGUUCGUUCCACAGAAUUAUCCCCAGCUUCAUGAUCCAAGGAGGUGACUUCACUCUUGGCGAUGGAAGGGGCGGUGAAUCAAUCUACGGCACAAAGUUCGCCGAUGAGAACUUCAAGCUCAAGCACACUGGACCAGGCUACCUUUCCAUGGCCAAUGCUGGGAGAGAUACCAAUGGAUCCCAGUUCUUCAUCACCACUGUAACCACGAGCUGGUUGGAUGGCAAGCACGUCGUGUUCGGCAAGGUGUUGUCUGGAAUGGACGUGGUCUACAAGGUUGAGGCCGAGGGCAAGCAGAACGGGACGCCAAAGAGCAAGGUUGUCAUCGCCGACAGCGGAGAAGUGCCGCUGUGA